CAAGAUCUGACUGAUUUGACCAGUAAAGAUACAAUGAGGCCGGGCGCGGUGGUUGAUGCCUGUAAUCCCAACACUUUGGGAGGCCGAGGCAGGCGGAUCAUGAGGUCAGGAGUUCAAGACCAGCCUGGCCAACAUGGUGAAACCCCGUCUCUACAAAAAUACAAAAAUUAGCCGGGCGCGGUGGUGGGCGCCUGUAAUCCCACCUACUUGGGAGGUUGAGGCAGGAGAAUUGCUUGAACCCAGGAGGCAGAGGUUGCAGUGAGCCGAGAUCCUGCCAUUGCACUCCAGCCUAGGUGACAGAGCAAGAACCCAUCUCAGAAAAAAAAAAGAUACGAGUCACUCUUAGAUUUGACACGUUAGUACUUACACCAGUGGUGAAAAGAAGGAAAAGCCAAAGCAGGCAUGCUCCCAUGAUCCUGUCCCACGAAGUAUGGAACACCCUACUGAGGAGGAGCCAAGCUGAGGCUGCAGCUCUGUGGUUUGGUAUCCUACGCUCUACUCUGAGGAAGGGAUGGGGCAGACUGAGUAAUCAGAAUCCAGGAGUCAUGAAAAAGAGUUUCAUGACAGUUUUCUGGGAGAGAGAGGCAGGUGGGAGAUGACCUCAUAGUAGCCCUUUACAAGCCUGCAGUCCCCUCGUGUUCUGGGAGGAUCACAAGGCAUUCUGCCAAAACUCAGGGAGGCUGUGUCUCGAGCCUUUGCCUGCAUGAAUACAUGCGAGGUCGCCAUGGUGCCAUGGCAGAGUUAUUCCCCUACUAGAAAAUAGAACGAACAGAACAAAGAUCCCUGCCUGCAUGGAGGACAAAAUUUCUGAAGCCUUGCAUUCC
rnacentral:lncRNA from 1 species